AUGCGUCAAUGGCACAUGGGUUCUGACCUGGAGGCCUGGAUGCGGCAGUACCAUAGCAGGAGGUAUCCCUAAACAUGAGGCAUGGAAAGGUCGCUGCAAGAACACUCCCUGUUAGCAACAUACCCUCGGCAGCCCCUCUUCUCUCUGUCCCCCUCCAGUCUCCAAAGAAUCACGGACUGGUCCAGGAGAUGCAACCGAGGAUAUUCCACCCAGAUGCAAAGUCUCAACGAGCGAAGAGUCAGCUCUUGCAGAGGUUUCUCACGGUGCUUCCAGCUCUUAUGUCUCAAUAAAGCAUUUGCAAAAGUG